rnacentral:rRNA from 1 species
UGGGGAAUUUUGGACAAUGGGCGCAAGCCUGAUCCAGCAAUGCCGCGUGCAGGAUGAAGGCCUUCGGGUUGUAAACUGCUUUUGUACGGAACGAAACGGCUCUGUCUAAUACAUGGGGCUAAUGACGGUACCGUAAGAAUAAGCACCGGCUAACUACGUGCCAGCAGCCGCGGUAAUACGUAGGGUGCAAGCGUUAAUCGGAAUUACUGGGCGUAAAGCGUGCGCAGGCGGUGAUGUAAGACAGGUGUGAAAUCCCCGGGCUUAACCUGGGAAUUGCAUUUGUGACUGCAUGGCUGAGGUGGGGCAGAGGGGGCUGGAAUUCCGCGUGUAGAAGUGAAAUGCGUAGAUAUGGGGAGAAACACCGAUGGCGCAGGCACUCCCCUGGGCCUGCACUGACGCUCAUGCACGAGAGCGUGGGGAGCAAACA